GUGACAGAAGAGAGUGAGCACACAUGAUGUUUUCUCGCAUGAUGUUUAUAUGCUUGAAACUAUGUGUGCUCACUGCUCUAUCUGUCAC
rfam:Solanum tuberosum cultivar DM 1-3 516 R44 scf00135_29, whole genome shotgun sequence.